AUACGGAGGAUGCGAGCGUUAUCCGGAUUUAUUGGGUUUAAAGGGUGCGUAGGCUGUGCGUUAAGUCAGGGGUGAAAUGCCGUCGCUCAACGACGGAGCUGCCCUUGAUACUGGCGUGCUGGAGUACGGAUGCCGUUGGAGGAAUGAGUGGUGUAGCGGUGAAAUGCUUAGAUAUCACUCAGAACACCGAUUGCGAAGGCAUCUGACGAAUCCGUCACUGACGCUGAGGCACGAAAGCGUGGGGAUAGAACAGGAUUAGAUGCCCUGGUAUUCCACGCCGUAAACGAUGAUGACUAACCGUCGGCGAUAGACAGCCGGUGGCCAAGCGAAAGCGAUAAGUCAUCCACCUGGGGAGUACGUCGGCAACGAUGAAACUCAAAGGAAUUGACGGGG
rnacentral:rRNA from 1 species